rnacentral:lncRNA from 1 species
CAGUCUGGCUCUCUUUGGGGUCUCAGGUUUCCUCCCAGUCCCCAUCCAGUGGAGGUCUAGAAGCCCAAGGUCUAGAGUGUCACAGCUUCCCCUCCAGGGAUCUGAGGUCCUAACUAAGGGAAUCCCCUCGCCUCUCCCCACUGGGGCGCAGUCUGACGUGCUCGCUGCUCAGAGCACGCACACAACUACCGGUUUGUUUGUUUGUUUGUUUGUUUUAAUUUCUUCUAUUUUUAAUGAAAUGAGAGCCCUCUGUCAGGGUCCACAUCUGUACUGGUGGAAUUAGGUUGAAGUCUUUCAUGGAACUGCCCUCCAGGUUCUGCAGUCCUAGGAGCCCAGGGCACUCGCCUUUCCCAUGGACAGCUGCUGAGCUCUACUUCAUCCUUCAUCGGAAUGCUAAGUGUCCACAGCAUUGCUUUAAGGCUGCCAUCAGAAGUUGUGGCCCAGGUUAAAGAUGGAUCCUCCUACCUUAAGCAUGGGGCCAAGCGGCCUAAUAAAGAUGACCAUCACACAGAAGCCUAUUGCCAUAAUAAUGAUGGGUUUAAAUACUUCAUCUGCCACAUUGCCUGUUGACUCCUUUCUUCCUGUGCUCUGGUGCUAGAACUCUACUGUCACUGUAGAGAGUCAAAGUCUCAGCCUGGAGAUGGUGGAGAUGAUGGAGAUGGGGAUGACAGAGAAAACAUCCUCCAGCACUGAUGAGUAUCUGCUGAAGGAAGGCAUGCUGGGGAGACUAAAGGAACCUCUCAGACAUCACCUUGGAGAUGGGCCCCUGAGCAUACUUAUGAGGAGACAAUCUUGACUGAGUUAACUGAAGUGGCAAGACCUGACCACUGGGGAUGACAUCAUUCCUUGGGAUGAGAACUAAGAUCUACAUAAAGAGGGAAAGUGAGCUGCACUCAGAAAUCCAUGUCCCUCUGAAUCCUGAGGAUGGAUGCCACACGACCAGCUACUCUAAACACUGGCUGCUCCAACUCCCCUGCCUUCAGGGACAAGACCCUUGCACUGUGAGCUGAAAUAACCCCCGUCUCCCUCGACUGCUUUUGUCGGAAUGUUUUAUCAAAGCAACGGAAAAAGAAAGUAGCCUGGAAUUCAAUUUAUCAGCAGUAAACGUCACUGGUAAUUGUUCUUUCUUUUUUCAUUGCUGGAGAUCAAGCCUAAGUCCUCACAUUCUAGACAAGCACUCUUCUUCCUAGUGGCCCUCCCUUGCCUGACAUUUUCAUGCAAUGUUUCUAUGGCAUUUCUUCCCAUCUCCCAGUGUUUCUAUUUAAGGUUCUAUUUAAGUAUUUCCUUUAAGGUUCAACUUUCCCUCUACCAUUAUUUUUUUUCCAAAAUGGCCUUUUGCUUUCUUUUCUCGCAUUCUUUUCUUCCUGUGCCCAACUGUACCCAAAUGAUACAAGCAUUCAUGUUUCUAUUUGGAUGUCUUAUCUGAGCUCCAAUGUCAAUAUCUGAAGGGCUGCAUUAUGUCCUUUGAACAUUUCAGUGGUAAGUCAUAUGUGGUAUGGCCAAAAGAGAUUUCGUGUCAAACCCCCUCCUCCCUCUUCCCUCCUCCCUCAUCUAAUCUGCUUGUCUUUGGUUUCCUUUCCAGUAAAUUAUUGCAUGAUACUUUCAUUAUUUUACUUUCACCUAUUGCAUUUGUGUAAUUUCUCUUCUCUAUACGACCUGGAUCAAGCCAUGAUCUCUCUUUGUCACACCUUCUCCCUCUCUCUCCUGUCUGUUCACCAUUUCAUCCCAAGCAACAACUUUUAGUAAAAUAUUGACAAGCCUAUGCUUACAGAUAACUCUUUAGAUAACAGGAGAAAAAAGUAUUAUAAUCACAAUACUUGGCAGACUGAGUCAGGAGGUUUAUCAGGAGUUUGAGGCCCGUGUAGGUUUCAGAGUGAGACUCUGUAUCUAAAGAUAAAAUAAGGAGCUAGAUAGAUGGCUCAGGGACUAAGAAUAUAUGUUUCUUUUAGAGAGGAUCUUUUAUGUCCCAGCAUCCUCAUGAUAGCUUUUAACCAUCCAUAAUUUCAGUGCUGGGAAGUGAUCACAGGUUCUUCUGAGAGAUCAGCAAGUGAUCUUAACAACUGAUCAAACUCCCCACACCCAUUGCUACCAUUUAUUUAUUUAUUUAUUUAUUUACUUACUUACUUACCAAAUGAAGAAUUUUUAUCCUUUAGGUAUCUGUUUAAAAAAAUUAAAGAAUCUUAAUUGUAACUCCUAUGUCAUUGUGGAGGUUUUCCUUUUUUUUCUCUUUUAAAGGAUACACUAAUUUUAAUGUAUUGUAUGUACGAGUGCCUGCCUGUAUGUACAUACACCAUAUGCCUGUCAGAUACCCAAGGAAGCCAGAAGAGCUUACCAGGUCCCCUGGAGCUGGAAUUACAAACAAUCCUUCUACUAUGUAGGUGCUGAGAACAAAGCCCAGGUUCUCUCAAGAGCAAUAAGCACUCUUUCCGGCUGAGGCAUCUAUUUAGCCCCUGUAUGCCUUCUUAAGGGUCCCAAGGCAGUUGUACUGUAUGCUUAUUAUGUGAAUAUUUAUGCAAGGAGCAUCUCUACAACUAGAAUGCAUGAUUCAUCAAAAAGACCCUCCUGUAAAAUCUUAUGUUUGAAAGCUACAUUUGCAGUAAGACCUUUAGAGAAGAGAUGAUUCACUUCAGUUCAGUUGUCUUUAUUCAGAAGUCAAGGCUUGACAAAUAAGUAAGCAAUGUCGGUCCUUAAAAAGAUAGUGAGUGUAUUCCAUAGUGCUGUAUAUUUCCACUCUAGUCAUCUUGUAUUGCAUUAAUCAGAACCAAGAAUUCAUGAUUGAGAAGCACAUCAUGGUCAUAAUUGCACUAACUGUAAAGACAAUUUCAGUGACAUGACACUGUCACAGACAAAGCAAACCCACAGAUACAGUAUAGCAGAUUACAAAGCUUCUGACAGACUUAGAUUGGAGUCUGGCUCUCUGGUAGUCUUUACCAUAGGA